GACGAACGCUGGCGGCGUGCCUAAUACAUGCAAGUAGAACGCUGAAGAGAGGAGCUUGCUCUUCUUGGAUGAGUUGCGAACGGGUGAGUAACGCGUAGGUAACCUGCCUUGUAGCGGGGGAUAACUAUUGGAAACGAUAGCUAAUACCGCAUAACAAUGGAUGACACAUGUCAUUUAUUUGAAAGGGGCAAUUGCUCCACUACAAGAUGGACCUGCGUUGUAUUAGCUAGUAGGUGAGGUAACGGCUCACCUAGGCGACGAUACAUAGCCGACCUGAGAGGGUGAUCGGCCACACUGGGACUGAGACACGGCCCAGACUCCUACGGGAGGCAGCAGUAGGGAAUCUUCGGCAAUGGGGGCAACCCUGACCGAGCAACGCCGCGUGAGUGAAGAAGGUUUUCGGAUCGUAAAGCUCUGUUGUAAGAGAAGAACGAGUGUGAGAGUGGAAAGUUCACACUGUGACGGUAACUUACCAGAAAGGGACGGCUAACUACGUGCCAGCAGCCGCGGUAAUACGUAGGUCCCGAGCGUUAUCCGGAUUUAUUGGGCGUAAAGCGAGCGCAGGCGGUUAGAUAAGUCUGAAGUUAAAGGCUGUGGCUUAACCAUAGUACGCUUUGGAAACUGUUUAACUUGAGUGCAGAAGGGGAGAGUGGAAUUCCAUGUGUAGCGGUGAAAUGCGUAGAUAUAUGGAGGAACACCGGUGGCGAAAGCGGCUCUCUGGUCUGUAACUGACGCUGAGGCUCGAAAGCGUGGGGAGCAAACAGG
rnacentral:rRNA from 1 species